rnacentral:rRNA from 1 species
GACGAACGCUGGCGGCGUGCCUAACACAUGCAAGUCGAACGAGGUCCAGGGGAGCUUGCUCCCUGACGACCUAGUGGCGAACGGGUGAGUAACACGUGAGAAACCUGCCUCGGAGUGGGGAAUAACUCGGGGAAACUCGAGCUAAUACCGCAUACCUUCACAUGAUCGCAUGGUCGAGUGAAGAAAGAAUUUCGCUCUGAGAGGGUCUCGAGGCCUAUCAGCUUGUUGGUGGGGUAACGGCCUACCAAGGCAACGACGGGUAGCUGGUUUGAGAGAACGAUCAGCCACACUGGGACUGGGACACGGCCCAGACUCCUACGGGAGGCAGCAGUGGGGAAUCUUGCGCAAUGGGCGAAAGCCUGACGCAGCAACGCCGCGUGCGGGAUGACGGCCUUCGUGGUUGUAAACCGCUUUCAGCAGGGACGAAAAUGACGGUACCUGCAGAAGAAGCCCCGGCUAACUACGUGCCAGCAGCCGCGGUAA